rnacentral:rRNA from 1 species
AGUGAACGCUGGCGGUAGGCCUAACACAUGCAAGUCGAACGGCAGCACAGUAAGAGCUUGCCCUUACGGGUGGCGAGUGGCGGACGGGUGAGGAAUACAUCGGAAUCUACUUUUUCGUGGGGGAUAACGUAGGGAAACUUACGCUAAUACCGCAUACGACCUACGGGUGAAAGCAGGGGAUCUUCGGACCUUGCGCGAUUGAAUGAGCCGAUGUCGGAUUAGCUAGUUGGCGGGGUAAAGGCGCACCAAGGCGACGAUCCGUAGCUGGUCUGAGAGGAUGAUCAGCCACACUGGAACUGAGACACGGUCCAGACUCCUACGGGAGGCAGCAGUGGGGAAUAUUGGACAAUGGGCGCAAGCCUGAUCCAGCCAUACCGCGUGGGUGAAGAAGGCCUUCGGGUUGUAAAGCCCUUUUGUUGGGAAAGAAAAGCAGCAGGUUAAUACCCCGCUGUUCUGACGGUACCCAAAGAAUAAGCACCGGCUAACUUCGUG